rnacentral:rRNA from 1 species
GACGAACGCUGGCGGCGUGCCUAAUACAUGCCAGUAGAACGCUGAAGGAGGAGCUUGCUUCUCUGGAUGAGUUGCGAACGGGUGAGUAACGCGUAGGUAACCUGCCUGGUAGCGGGGGAUAACUAUUGGAAACGAUAGCUAAUACCGCAUAAGAGUAGAUGUUGCAUGACAUUUGCUUAAAAGGUGCAAUUGCAUCACUACCAGAUGGACCUGCGUUGUAUUAGCUAGUUGGUGAGGUAACGGCUCACCAAGGCGACGAUACAUAGCCGACCUGAGAGGGUGCACGGCCACACUGGGACUGGGACACGGCCCAGACUCCUACGGGAGGCAGCAGUAGGGAAUCUUCGGCAAUGGACGGAAGUCUGACCGAGCAACGCCGCGUGAGUGAAGAAGGUUUUCGGAUCGUAAAGCUCUGUUGUAAGAGAAGAACGAGUGUGAGAGUGGAAAGUUCACACUGUGACGGUAUCUUACCAGAAAGGGACGGCUAACUACGUG